GACGUAGGGCGCGAGCGUUGUCCGGAUUUAUUGGGCGUAAAGAGCUCGUAGGCGGCUUGUCGCGUCGUCCGUGAAAACCCACGGCUUAACUGUGGGCUUGCGGUCGAUACGGGCAGGCUGGAGUUCGGUAGGGGAGACUGGAAUUCCUGGUGUAGCGGUGAAAUGCGCAGAUAUCAGGAGGAACACCGGUGGCGAAGGCGGGUCUCUGGGCCGAUAUUGACGCUGAGGAGCGAAAGCGUGGGGAGCGAACAGG
rnacentral:rRNA from 1 species